GCAUGCUCUCUGCAGUCGUCCUUGCGCUUCUUCCUGCUGAUGAGGUUUACAACCCGAAGGCCGUCAUCCCUCACGCGGCGUCGCUGCAUCAGGCUUUCGCCCAUUGUGCAAUAUUCCCCACUGCUGCCUCCCGUAGGGGGGCGGGGGCGGCGGGCCGGGCGCGGGGCGCGGCGGGCGACGCGGGGCGCGGCGGGCGACUUUGUUUAACUCUUCGAGGAGAGCCAGGGAGGAACGCCAGAGCCCGCUACUCGUCCGCACCCAUAUAGUCCGAGAACAGCCCGC
rnacentral:rRNA from 1 species